rnacentral:rRNA from 1 species
GACGAACGCUGGCGGCGUGCUUAACACAUGCAAGUCGAACGGAAAGGCCCUGCUUUUGUGGGGUGCUCGAGUGGCGAACGGGUGAGUAACACGUGAGUAACCUGCCCUUGACUUUGGGAUAACUUCAGGAAACUGGGGCUAAUACCGGAUAGGAUCUCCUGCUGCAUGGUGGGGGUGGGAAAGUUUCGGCGGUUGGGGAUGGACUCGCGGCUUAUCAGCUUGUUGGUGGGGUAGUGGCUUACCAAGGCUUUGACGGGUAGCCGGCCUGAGAGGGUGACCGGCCACAUUGGGACUGAGAUACGGCCCAGACUCCUACGGGAGGCAGCAGUGGGGAAUAUUGCACAAUGGGCGGAAGCCUGAUGCAGCAACGCCGCGUGCGGGAUGACGGCCUUCGGGUUGUAAACCGCUUUCGCCUGUGACGAAGCGUGAGUGACGGUAAUGGGUAAAGAAGCACCGGCUAACUCCGUG